rnacentral:rRNA from 1 species
GACCAGCACCCCGAGUGGUCGGGACGAUUAUUGGGCCUAAAGCAUCCGUAGCCGGCCUUACAAGUCCUCCGUUAAAUCCAGCUGCUUAACAGAUGGGCUGCGGAGGAUACUAUAAGACUAGGAGGCAGGAGAGGCAAGCGGUACUCAGUGGGUAGGGGUAAAAUCCGUUGAUCCAUUGAAGACCACCAGUGGCGAAGGCGGCUUGCCAGAAUGCGCUCGACGGUGAGGGAUGAAAGCUGGGGGAGCAAACCGG